rnacentral:rRNA from 1 species
UACAGAGGGUGCGAGCGUUGUCCGGAAUCACUGGGCGUAAAGGGCGCGUAGGCGGCCCGAUAAGUAGGGGGUGAAAUCUUGCGGCUCAACCGCAAGGCUGCCUUCUAAACUGUCGGGCUGGAGCACGGUAGAGGCAGAUGGAGUUCCCGGUGUAGCGGUGGAAUGCGUAGAGAUCGGGAAGAACACCAGUGGCGAAGGCGGUCUGCUGGGCCGUUGCUGACGCUGAGGCGCGACAGCGUGGGGAGCAAACAGG